rnacentral:tRNA from 1 species
GUCUGGGUGGUUAAGUCGGUUAAGCAUCUGACUUUGGCUCAGGUCAUGAUCUCAGGGUUGUGGGCUCGAGCCCCACUCUGGGCU